rnacentral:sRNA from 1 species
CGGCCGCCCUGAGACGUGGCGACUACAGAGCCUUUGGCCGCCUCAUGGUGGAGAGCCACCGCUCACUCAGGUGAGGCCCUCUGGGCACCCCGCUCCUGCCGGGCACAGGCCGGCCCCAGGCCCACCCCUUCGAUAUCUUCUCUGCAGAGACGACUAUGAGGUGAGCUGCCCGGAGCUGGACCAGCUGGUGGAGGCUGCGCUCGCUGUGCCUGGGGUUUAUGGCAGCCGCAUGACGGGCGGUGGCUUCGGUGGCUGCACGGUGACACUGCUGGAGGCCUCCGCUGCUCCCCACGCCAUGCGGCACAUCCAGGAGCACUAUGGCGGGACUGCCACUUUCUACCUCUCUCAAGCAGCCGAUGGAGCCAAGGUGCUGCGCUUGUGAGGCACCCCCAGGACAGCACACGGUGAGGGUGCGGGGCCUGCAGGCCAGUCCCACGGCUCUGUGCCCGGUGCCGUCUUCCAUAUC